AGCGAACGCUGGCGGCAGGCCUAACACAUGCAAGUCGAACGAACCUUUCGGGGUUAGUGGCGGACGGGUGAGUAACACGUGGGAACGUGCCUUUAGGUUCGGAAUAACUCAGGGAAACUUGUGCUAAUACCGAAUGUGCCCUUCGGGGGAAAGAUUUAUCGCCUUUAGAGCGGCCCGCGUCUGAUUAGCUAGUUGGUUGAGGUAAUGGUUCACCAAGGCGACGAUCAGUAGCUGGUCUGAGAGGAUGAUCAGCCACAUUGGGACUGAGACACGGCCCAAACUCCUACGGGAGGCAGCAGUGGGGAAUCUUGCGCAAUGGGCGAAAGCCUGACGCAGCCAUGCCGCGUGAAUGAUGAAGGUCUUAGGAUUGAAAAGUUCUUUCACCGGGGACGAUAAUGACGGUACCCGGAGAAGAAGCCACGGCUAACUUCGUG
rnacentral:rRNA from 1 species